rnacentral:snoRNA from 1 species
UCCCAAUGAAAAAACACUCACACAUCUUAUUUCCUGUCUAGUCCCAGAGCCUGUAAAGGUAAAACCACUGAGGCUGGCUGGGGGAGAAGAGGAAAAUUCAUUCCAGAAGGAACUGUCUGAGGGAU